AUUUUUUUUUUCCGGGAAAAAAAACAGAAAGGUAAUGAAACGACUUUUCUUUUUCGAUGGACUUCUAAUUCUCAGAUAUUUUUUCCUCUUCGCCGAACACUAUUUCAUGUCAAUCGAUCGAGGAAACUGGAGAAAUAUAUCUAUGGAAGAAGAUAUAAGAAAUCAGUUGGAUCUCUACUUCUGCAGUCUCUUCUGUGAUCAAGUUUCCUCUGACCAAAAGAUGAAAUCAGACAGUGGGAAUGCGGCUUAGUUAAAGCAGAUAUAGGUUCGAUUCCAUGUAAUGAAUCAAUUGAAGUUCGAUUUGAUAUACUGUUCGCAGAAAGAAGAAUCAGAAAAAACAAAGUCACGGCAGGAGUAGACAGAGAAAUCUCUCUAUUUCUUACUUAGUGAGUGCAGGCACUCAUCAAUAAAGACAUGCUCGAGGAGUUUUGGAGAACAAAAAGACGUCAGCUGAACAAAAUUUAGACAAUGCACUGGCCAUCAAAGAGGAGCAAAACACGAUAACUAUUUAUGGAGGCUUGGAGAAGAAAAAGACGUGGGAAGGAAGUUGACCUCAAAAAGUUAAGGUAGUAAUAUUUUGUAUCAGAUUGCAACCGAGAUUAUAGCUUGUUAAUUCAAACACUUUAGAUUUUUAUGA